GACGUAGGGCGCGAGCGUUGUCCGGAUUUAUUGGGCGUAAAGAGCUCGUAGGCGGCUUGUCGCGUCGUCCGUGAAAACUUGGGGCUCAACCCCAAGCUUGCGGUCGAUACGGGCAGGCUAGAGUUCGGUAGGGGAGACUGGAAUUCCUGGUGUAGCGGUGAAAUGCACAGAUAUCAGGAAGAACACCUAUGGCGAAGGCAGCUCUCUGGGACGGUACUGACGCUGAGACGCGAAAGCGUGGGGAGCGAACAGG
rnacentral:rRNA from 1 species